rnacentral:rRNA from 1 species
GACGAACGCUGGCGGCGUGCUUAACACAUGCAAGUCGAACGGAAAGGCCCUGCUUUUGUGGGGUGCUCGAGUGGCGAACGGGUGAGUAACACGUGAGUAACCUGCCCUUGACUUUGGGAUAACUUCAGGAAACUGGGGCUAAUACCGGAUAGGAGCUCCUGCUGCAUGGUGGGGGUUGGAAAGUUUCGGCGGUUGGGGAUGGACUCGCGGCUUAUCAGCUUGUUGGUGGGGUAGUGGCUUACCAAGGCUUUGACGGGUAGCCGGCCUGAGAGGGUGACCGGCCACAUUGGGACUGAGAUACGGCCCAGAAUCCUACGGGAGGCAGCAGUGGGGAAUAUUGCAAAAUGGGCGGAAGCCUGAUGCAGCAACGCCGCGUGCGGGAUGACGGCCUUCGGGUUGUAAACCGCUUUCGCCUGUGACGAAGCGUGAGUGACGGUAAUGGGUAAAGAAGCAACGGCUAACUACGUG